rnacentral:tRNA from 4 species
UCCACAGUAGCUCAGUGGUAGAGCAAUCGGCUGUUAACCGAUUGGUCGUAGGUUCGAGUCCUACCUGUGGAGCCA